CGCGUAAUCACACAAUUUAAGUUACCCCUCUGUUUCAGGUGUAAUUUAGAAUAAUGACAUAAUGAACUUAAUAAAAAAAACACUUAGUUCAGUCAAUAAACAAUAAAAUGCAACAUAUUUGUGAAUCAAAACGACAAUACAAUACAUCAGUCAAUAAACAAUCAAAUGCAACACAUGUGUGAAUCAAAACGACAAUAAUAAUAAUAAAUUAUCAGUCAAUGUCCAGACUGAAUGACGCCGUAGAAUAGUUUGCAUGUUAGUUAGGUGUAGCCUUCAACACCGGAAAUUGAGUCACGAAAUCAAUGUAUGGAAAACGAUUGUUCGCAAAUAACAACCACAUGUUUGAGGGUUAGUUUGUCAUCCAAGUGAACCUCGCCGUUCGUGAUUUGAGACAUCAAAGUCUGAAGAGUAAAAUCAAGACCAAUUUCAUCAGUCGAAUAUAGUACAAUAUACGACGAAGACAUCAGGGGAGCACGUAAUGGAUCGACAUCAGGAGAGCACCUCAUGGAUCGACAUCAGGGGAGACAAUCAUGGAUCGACAUCAGGGGAGCACAUCAUGGAUCGACAUCAGGGGAGCACAUAAUGGAUUAAGUACAAUAUACGAAGAAGAAGACAUCAGGGGAGCACGUAAUGGAUCGACAUCAGGAGAGCACGUCAUGGAUCGACAUCAGGGGAGACAAUCAUGGAUCGACAUCAGAUAAUGUCAACGAAAACAAUUCAUUGUCGAUUUUUCCUUCUACAGUAGAGGACCCAUGAGAAACCGCAACAUGCGAGACCGAUAUACCGCCUGCAGCUCCCACUGAUACCGAACGAAUAUCACGCCAAAAGCUGCUCCCAGCAGACCGCGAUGGUCCAUACACCUUUACGAAAUCUUCCUGGAAAAUGGCUAAACAAACCAUCUCCCUGACAUGGAAGGCCGUCUCCGGAACAUUCGUAUCUGGGUGAACCGUAAGGAUGUGGCGUUUCAUAUCAGCUGCGCGUUUAAUGGUUACAUGGCAAAAUGGACACUCCACUCCCAAGCGCUGAUGUACAGUCUCGACAUGUCUCUCAAAUUGACGUUGAGUUGCCAAUGUGGCAUGGCACAACCAACAAUUUUGAUGUUUCAUUCUGUAAAUUUACAAAAAGGUAUCAACGAAGUGUCCACCACCCUAAUAAAAAGGCAACACAAGUACUCAAAGGUCAAUUUCGAACAGACUCCAAUACGUCGAAUCGGGUUAUACAACCAAACAGCUUGGCCGACCGAAAAAGACCUCUUUUUCGCCUUGAUGUCAUAAUGACGCUUCUGAUAUGCUGUGUUCUUACGAAGAGACUUCCUCGCUAUUGUAUGACAGCUCACCAGGACCGUCUGUAACUGGCUACAAUAUGACUCUGGAUCACGUGCCUCAAUUGAAGAAUUUGGUGACCCGAUAAAUGCCUCUACUGGUAGGGUUACAUCACGCCCAAACACCAUUUUGUUGGGAGUUACACCAGUACUGCUGUGCACGGAAGCACGAUAAGCCAUGGUUAGCUGUGGAAGGUACUCAUCCCAUCUCUGUUGGUCAUCUUCACAAUAAAUGGCCAACAUGGAUUGAAGAGUUCUGUUGAAUCGUUCUGGACAACCAUUACUUUGGGGUCGAAGCGAACUUGUUGUUACUUUGUCGAUGUGAAGAAAAUCACAAAUAUCUUGAAAAAGCUGUGAAGUGAAAUUUGUCCCUUUAUCACUUAAAAUUUGUUGAGGACAACCAAACCGACAAAUGAAAUUAUUUACUAAAACAUCAGCAAUAGUUUUUGCUUCUUGGUUAGGCAGGGGAUAAGCCUCAGUCCAUUUUGUAAAAUUGUCCACUACUACUAAAAUAUAUUUGUUGCCUUUCAGUGUUGUACUUAAAGGACCUAACACGUCAAUGGAAAUUCUCUCCAUUGGUUCACCAUUGAUAUAAUUUCUCAUUGGGGCUUUAGGAGCUGUAUUAGACUUACGACAUGCACAUUUAUCGCAUUUAGUGAUAUACUUAUUAACAUCCUCUUUCAUACCUGGCCAAUAGAACGAUUGUUUAAGCCUAUGUAAGGACUUUUCUAAACCCAAGUGUCCAGCAGACGGAAUGUCAUGCGAAUACUUAAUAAUUUCAUCUCGUUUCGUUAACGGUACAAUAAGUAAAUUUUGUUCGAAGCCAGUUUCCGUGUCUAUGAAAAUACAAUACAAUAUUUGGUUAAUUACUUUAAGUCUAUCCCACAUGCGCCAAAGUGUUUUAAGAAAAGAAGUACCAUCUGAUAUUUGAUCCCAUGAAGGCCUAUCUAAUUGGUUUGUCUUAGCAUUAAGAAUAGGACUAAUAUUUGGGUCAUUUAAUUGGGCAACUAAAAGGUCAUCAGGGGUCCAGCCAUUUAUAACUAUUUGUGCGUCUUGUUGUAUUGCUCGUAUAGUUACACUGUUAUUUUGGUUUAUGAUUAAAUUAUUAUCACAAUCA